AUGUCCUCCUAUGGCAGCACAGGCUCGCAGCAGGGAGCAGACGUGGCCCCAUGCUGCGCCACCCCGACGCUGGUCGCCGCCUUGGCAGCAUCCUUCGCCUGCUGCUUCUUCUUCGUCCUUGUCUUUCUCUGCCUGCGCUUCCUCCACCUUCGCCGCACCCGGACGCCGCGCCACAGUGCGCCGCAGCCGCUGCAAGGUGAGGGACAGGCCCAGCAGCGGCCCAAGCUCGGCCUCGACGCCGCCACCAUCGCGCUCAUCCCGUCCUUCCCUUACCUGCGGGAGAGCUCGGACUCGGCGCCGGCCGAGUGCGCCGUGUGCCUCGGCGCCCUCGACGAACGGGAGAGGGUGAGGCAGCUCCCAGCCUGCAAUCAUCUGUUCCACCAGGGGUGCGUUGAUGUAUGGCUAAUGUCUAACGCGUCGUGCCCGGUCUGCCGCGCCAAGGCCGAACCGGCCGCGCCUACGCGCGCGUCGGCUUCCGUCGUGCCUGUCGAGAUGUGGGACGAGGAGACGGUGUCUUCGUCGCCAGCGGCAUCGGAAACCACGCCGGAGCGGCUUGGUGAGCGCCCGUUUGUCCCCCGCUCCGGCCAGGAAGCAGACCUGGAGCGGCAAUAA
rnacentral:rRNA from 1 species